ACUCAAAGGAAUAGACGGGGGCCCGCACAAGCGGUGGAGCAUGUGGUUUAAUUCGAUGCUACGCGAAAAACCUUACCUAGGCUUGACAUCCCGCGCUAUCCGGUGAAAGUCGGAGUUCCCUUCGGGGACGCGGAGACAGGUGCUGCAUGGCUGUCGUCAGCUCGUGUUGUGAGAUGUUGGGUUAAGUCCCGCAACGAGCGCAACCCUCGCCACUAGUUACCAGCAUUAAGUUGGGCACUCUAGUGGGACCGCUGAGCUAUAAGCCAGAGGAAGGUGGGGAUGACGUCAAGUCCUCAUGGCCUUUAUGUCUAGGGCAACACACGUGCUACAAUGGGAGGCACAAUUCGUCGCAAGCGCGCAAGCGCAAGCUAAUCGCAAAAAACCUCCCUCAGUUCGGAUUGAAGUCUGCAACUCGACUUCAUGAAGCUGGAAUCGCUAGUAAUCGUCGAUCAGCACGCGACGGUGAAUACGUUCCCGGGCCUUGUACACACCGCCCGU
rnacentral:rRNA from 1 species